rnacentral:rRNA from 1 species
AACGAACGCUGGCGGCAGGCCUAACACAUGCAAGUCGAACGCCCCCCAAGUGGGGUGUCGGACGUGUGAGUAACACGUGGGAACCUUCCCUAUAGUACGGAAUAGCCCAGGGAUACUUGGAGUAUUACCUUAUACGCCCUACACUGGUAAGAAUUUCGCGAUAGGAUGGGCCCGCGUAGGUUUAGCUAGUUUGUGCGGUAAUGUCUCACCAAGGCGACUAUACUUAGCUGGUUUGAGAGAACGACCAGACACACUGGGACUGAGACACGGCGCAGACUACUACGGGAGGGAGGAGUGGAGAAUAUUGGACAAUGGGCGCAAGCCUGAUCCAGCCAUGCCGCGUGAGUGAUGAAGGCGUUAGGGUUGUAAAGCUCUUUUGGCGGGGACGAUAAUGACGGUACCCGAAGAAUAAGUCCCGGCUAACUUCGUG